AAGCCAGACAUUAAAGGGAUUUGCAAAAAUGAAAAACAAUGGUACUUUUCUCACUAUUUUUUUUCGUUUUGGAAAAUACAGUUAUUUUCACAGAAAUGUUGUUUAUGUUAACAUUCAAUAGGUUUAUUAUUGUUAUUUUUACCCUAACAAAGCCAAAAAAUUUAAAGUCCUCAGUCUUAACUUCUAAUAUUGGAUGGGCCACAGCCCUCUUUUCCCCCCACUGGUGAAACCCUGCUGAGGAAUUAAGUCAAUAUACAGAAAAUCACAGCCAAGAGCUGGAGAGAGAAAGAGAGCUCUGACAUCAUCAUUGAGCACCUGGAUCCAGCCAUACCUGAAGCCAG
rnacentral:lncRNA from 1 species